rnacentral:rRNA from 1 species
UACGUAGGGGGCUAGCGUUGUCCGGAUUUAUUGGGCGUAAAGAGCGUGUAGGCGGCCAGGUAGGUCUGGUGUGAAAACUCGAGGCUUAACCUCGAGAUGUCAUCGGAAACCAUUUGGCUAGAGUCCGGAAGAGGAGAGUGGAAUUCCUGGUGUAGCGGUGAAAUGCGCAGAUAUCAAGAGGAACACCAGUGGCGAAGGCGAGUCCCUGGACAACACCUGACACUGAGGCACGAAAGCUAGGGGAGCAAACAGG